rnacentral:rRNA from 1 species
GCGACAGGCCUAACACAUGCAAGUCGAGGGCAGCACAAGGAGCAAUCUGAGGUGGCGACCGGCGCACGGGUGAGUAACACGUAUGCAACCUGCCUAGUAAGCGGGGAAUAACCCGUUGAAAGACGGACUAAUACCGCAUAAUACUAAAUUACUGCAUGGUAAUUUAUUUAAACAUUUAUGGCUUACAGAUGGGCAUGCGCAUGAUUAGCUAGUUGGAGAGGUAACGGCUCCCCAAGGCAACGAUCAUUAGGGGUUCUGAGAGGAAGGUCCCCCCACACUGGUACUGAGACACGGACCAGACUCCUACGGGAGGCAGCAGUGAGGAAUAUUGGUCAAUGGACGAGAGUCUGAACCAGCCAAGUCGCGUGCAGGAAGAAUGUCCUAUGGAUUGUAAACUGCUUUUGCAGGGGAAUAAAGUGCAUCACGUGUGAUGUUUUGUAUGUACUCUGCGAAUAAGGAUCGGCUAACUCCGUGCCAGCCGCAGC